rnacentral:RNase_MRP_RNA from 1 species
CCCUCGUCCGACAAAUCGCCAUCGAAGCUCACAAACGGAGAUUUCCUUUCCUUUUGGAAGGGCUUCUCAAGAUAGCAGCUUUGGGAGAAAGUCCCCGGACACACGUUACUUCCCUUUCUUCGGAAAGCGAAGUCAAAACGCCGCGGAAACGCGCCGCCAUAGAAGCACAGCGGCUGACCUCCAAGACCUGCGUCCGGACAUCAUGGGCUCUCUCACACCCCGCCCCGUCGCUACAUCGUUGGCUUUUCCUCCCUACGAGACCCGAGUUUCACUUUUCAAGACCCUUUGGAUGAAGAUAUGAGUCCGCGCCUGGGAAUUGAGACUUGGGAGCCUUGCAGGGCUGGGGAGUCUUUGAUGACGGGGUGGCCGUUGGGGAGGGUUCGCUUGCCGGGCGAUUUCAAGGGUCCGUCGGAGGGUCUUUCGUCGAGAUCGAUAGGUAUGCGAUUGCCCGUCCACACCUCUUCACUGGGGUUGGGCGUGUUACUCGAUGGGGCUUAUUCUUGGUGCGAGG